rnacentral:rRNA from 1 species
CCUACGGGUGACAGCAGUGGGGAAUAUUGCACAAUGGGCGAAAGCCUGAUGCAGCAACGCCGCGUGAGCGAUGAAGGCCUUCGGGUCGUAAAGCUCUGUCCUCAAGGAAGAUAAUUACGGUAAUUGAGGAGGAAGCCCCGGCUAAAUACGUGCCAGCAGCCGGGGUAAUCCGUAGGGGGCUAGGGUUAUCCGGAAUUACUGGGCGAAAAGGGUGCGUAGGUGGUUUCUUAAGUCAGAGGUAAAAGGCUACGGCUCAACCGUAGUAAGACUUUGAAACUGGGAAACUAGAGUGCAGGAGAGGAGAGUGGAAUUCCUAGUGUAGCGGUGAAAUGCGUAGAUAUUAGGAGGAACACUAGUUGCGAAGGCGGCUCUCUGGACUGUAACUGACACGGAGGCACGAAAGCGUGGGGAGCAAACAGGAUUAGAUACCCGUGUAGUC